UUGUCUCAAAGAUUAAGUCAUGCAUGUCUAAGUAUAAGCAACUUGUACUGUGAAACUGCGAAUGGCUCAUUAAGUCAGUUAUCGUUUAUUUGAUAGUACCUUACUACAUGGAUACCUGUGGUAAUUCUAGAGCUAAUACAUGCUAAAAACCCCGACUUCAGGAAGGGGUGUAUUUAUUAGAUAAAAAACCAACGCCCUUCGGGGCUCCUUGGUGAAUCAUAAUAACUUAACGAAUCGCAUGGCCUUGCGCCGGCGAUGGUUCAUUCAAAUUUCUGCCCUAUCAACUUUCGAUGGUAGGAUAGUGGCCUACCAUGGUGGCAACGGGUAACGGAGGGUUAGGGCUCGACCCCGGAGAAGGAGCCUGAGAAACGGCUACUACAUCCAAGGAAGGCAGCAGGCGCGCAAAUUACCCAAUCCCGACACGGGGAGGUAGUGACAAUAAAUACUGAUACAGGGCUCUUUUGGGUCUUGUAAUCGGAAUGAGUACAAUUUAAAUCCCUUAACGAGGAACAAUUGGAGG
rnacentral:rRNA from 1 species